rnacentral:rRNA from 1 species
AUACGUAGGUGACAAGCGUUAUCCGGAUUUACUGGGCGUAAAGGGCGUGUAGGCGGUCUUGCAAGUCAGAAGUGAAAUUCCUGAGCUCAACUCGGGCGCUGCUUCUGAAACUGCAGGCCUUGAGUGCUGGAGGGGAUAGCGGAAUUCCUAGUGGAGCGGAAAAAGGCGCAGAUAUUAGGAAGAAAACCGGUGGCGAAGGCGGCUAUCUGGACAGUAACUGACGCUGAGGCGCGAAAGCGUGGGGAGCAAACAGGAUUAGAUUCCCUGGUAGUCCACGCCGUAAACGAUGAAUACUAGGUGUAGGGGGUAUCGACUCCCUCUGUGCCGCAGUUAACACAAUAAGUAUUCCGCCUGGGGAGUACGGCCGCAAGGUUGAAACUCAAAUGAAUUGACGGGG